rfam:[Clostridium] neopropionicum strain DSM-3847 CLNEO_contig000003, whole genome shotgun sequence.
UACGAAACAUUGUAAACGAUAACAGUGAUUAAUUAGGAAAUUUGCGUUGACACUUUAAGAAAAAUAUGGUAGUAUUGACCUGUAACAGUUCUUAUUUAUCUAUGUAGGAGGAUUUAUUCAAUGAAAAAAGGUACAGUAAAAUGGUUCAACGCAGAAAAAGGUUUUGGUUUUAUUUCCGUUCCUGGUGAAGAUGAUGUAUUCGUUCAUUUCUCUGCAAUUCAGGUUGAUGGCUACAAAACACUUGAAGAAGGUCAGGAAGUUGAGUUUGAAGUUGUUCAGGGCGCAAAAGGUCCUCAGGCUGCCAAUGUAACACGUGCUUAAUCGAUUUUGAUUCUGUAUUGAAAAUGCCUAGGCAUUGAUAA